GGAUUUCUUGAUUUCAUCCGAGAUUUUCGCCCGUUUGAUGGCCUUAUCACAAUGGCUGGUCGAGGGGGGAUCCGAAGUCUGCAGGCUUCCACGACUGGGCUCUGCUCGAGCGCGACUAAACCGAAACAGAGCAGAGGGUAAUUCAGAACUCCCAUGUGUCCAUCCAACGUAACGAAUGCAGCGGACUCUCUGGAUCUGAGGCGGUUGGGCCAUCCAUUCCGUAUGCCAGAGGUGAAAAGAGAAUAUUUACCUGUACCCUACACUUGAUAUAACGACUCCAAUUAUCGUGUGGUACAGUGUCUGUCCUAAUCUUCCUGGAAAUAUUAGCUGUAGCCCUUCUAGGGUGUAGUUUAGAGUUACUCCAGACAACAUCGAGCUGAAGAGCACGGCCGGAAAGUAAUGAUGGAAGUAGAGCACACGACCCAUCCCCCAGAAGGCACGGCGGCAUGCAUAUACACGAUUAUGAACAACAAAAGAAAGACGAUGUUUCCCCACCAUAUUAUCGGAUUACCCAGCAAAUAAAUCCUAUGGUUAUAGCCAGAGAAAAACUGACCCUG